CUCACUCUUACCUGCCUUCCCAUAGUAACACUGCUGUCCACUAAAGCAGCAGUUGAUAGCUUCACAUUCAGCACUACUGAUACCAGGUUGUCCACAUUGGAUCUGCUCAUAAUCAGCCACAGCACAUUUGUCCAAAGGCUCAUCCUUCGCUACUGGCUUCUGAAUCUGAAGCUUCUGAGGAAACUGCUGAUUAGUCUGUUGAACUGGCUUCUGAAUCUGAAGCUUCUGAGGAAACUGCUGAUAAGUCUGUUGAACUGGCUUCUGAAUCUGAAGCUUCUGAGGAAACUGCUGAUUAGUCUGUUGAACUGGCUUCUGAAACCACUGGUCAGUUUGCUGGAGCAUCAGAGCUUGAGCAUUCUGGGGCAGUUUACUCAACUUACUCAACUUUGGAAGAGCAUGACAGAACGCACACAGUGCCAAUACCUGAAACAAACACCAACUUCCAGCCAUCAUCCAACCGUUAACCACACUAUUGAAAUACUGCACUUUGGUCUUUUUGUACUCUACAGAUCUCAGCUAAUUAGCUAUAGUCCCUCCCUCUUCAUUAACAAUCAUGAUUCUCCAAACGAGUGUGAGCUCAUGCAACUGGGCGAUACUCAUUGGUUCUUAAGACUCAAUUUUCCUCGUUCUUCCCCAUUUGAAUUCAGCGUGGGUUUUAUUCUUCAUUAAGCUCGAGAGACACUGCACAAUUUUCGGCUGUCCCAGACAAAAGAUGGGCAUCGUGAAACAAUCGUGGCGAUUUCUGUGAUCGUGGCUCCUAGUCAGUGGUCCUAUGUCGUACAGUGAGAGAGGUUCAAAGACGGCCGUUGUCACAGUCUUGCAACCAAAGAUAGCCUACGACAGGGAUAGGCAACUUCGGUCCUGGAGGGCCACUGUCCUGCAGAAUUUAGCUCCAACCCUAAUUAAACACACCUGAACAAGGCAAUCAGUGUUUUCGGGAUUACUAGAUAGAUACAGGCAGGUGAGUUUUUAUGAGGGCUGAAGCUAAACUCUGCAGGAUAGUGGCCCUCCAGGACCGGAGUUGCCUAUCCCUGGCCUACGAUAAUUUUCUGGCAGUGUCAGAAAUUCAGCAUGUUCAUCGCACGGUGUGUUUGCAGUUAAGACCCACGUUUACUAAUUUUAAAAUGAUUAAACUUAUGUUUUUCUUUUGAUCUCUGUGUGAAACUAUACAUAAUUAAAUUCAGUUGAUUCCUUUGCAUAGUCAUAUAUUUUCUUUCUGAUGCCUUCUCAUACUUUUGCUAAAGCAGAAAUGUUUAUUCCUGCCUUGUAAAUACAUUUAAAUUUAUUACAUUUUUAAUAACGACAUCUCUUAAUCUUCAGCAGAAAAGUGAAUAGCACUCACUCUCCCAAGAAGUGAAUCCAGCUGACACUUUGCUGAUGCUCUCCACAUGUUUCGUGUGAUUGGCUGUUUGCUGCACGUGUCACACGUUCAAGCAAGUGCUCCAGAGUUAACCACAAACUCUGGAUCGAACUCUGAGUUGACAGAGAACAGUUAUAUCGAGCUUUGUGUGCCCAGUGAACCUGACCUAGACCAGGUUGGCUUUAUCGGGUUUGCGAACUCAAAACUUACUCAGCAACUCUGAGUUUGUUCAUCUCGUUUCAUGCUUCAGGCCACAGGCCUGUAUCUUCAGACUGGCUCAAAAGAAAGUUGGUUUAACAUAAUCAUGAUUACACUGAAGCUUACAGUGACACUGGAAUCCUGUCCCAGACAUAGCUGCUCUAUUCUUAAAUGCUGCAUUUAUAUAUUUCAAGUACAGUCAAUUAUAUUGUAAUGUAAGUGAUUUUAAUAUCCUGCACACAUUGUAAGAUCAAUUUCCUCCGGUAUAGCCCAAAAUUUUAUUUACCAGGGAGCAGGUUAGCCCUUCUCUCAUAAGGAAAUAAUACACCUCAUAGAUUUAGUGAAACACAAAUUUAUUUAAUAUGUUUCUUGUCAGAGGAUAGGCUCCACCAAGGUUUUUCUCUCUAUUCAGCUAAAUAUGCUAAGAAACUAUUUUACUCACCACCAUCACCUUUGUCUGGAGUGGCAAAGAAAUGCUUUUACAUUUACAAUUAUUCAUUUAGAAGAUGCUUUUGUACAAAGAAACUUACAAUUGACGAAUACAACAAGUGAUUCAUCAAAAACAGGCAAAUACACACAAGCGCUCAUAAUACAAAAUUUCAGACAUAGCUCAGCGGUGUGUUUCCUAAAAGCAGUGUUAGCUAACCAUUGAACCCUAUAGGUAACGCCAGAGUGUGUGACUACAGUUGCUUUUGGGAAACACACAACAGAUAAGUACAAGCUAGAACAGAGAGUGAUUAAGGAAAGUGAAAGAUUAAAAAAAAAAAAAAUUGUUGACGAAAGAUGAGUUUUCAACUGUCGCAUGAAAAUCGUCAGGGAUUCAGUAUUCCGGAUGGUCGUGGGAAGAUCCUUCCACAGCCAGUAUCAGUGAACAAAAAUGUUCUGGAAAGUAAUCCGUAGGCCUCAAUGCCUAUGGAUUCAGAUGGGAAUGUUAAAAAUAAAAUAUCUCAAGAGCUAAAGAGCUUUUUUGCCAUCAGUUACAAGAAAACUAUUCAAUUCAAUUCAAGUUUAUUUGUAUAGCGCUUUUUUCGAUACAAAUCAUUGCAAAGGAACUUUACAGAAAAUUAAGUUUCUACAAUAUUAGUAGUAGCUUAUCAGUGAUUACUGUCAGUUUAUGUGCAUAUGGCAGAAAUGCACUAUCUAUCUAGGGUAGCAUUCAGUUGCUGCUGUGUUCACAUUGCACAUUGGAUUGGCAGCAGGAGGUUACGCACUGCAUGAUAUUACAAUAGGAAGAAUCUGACAACUCUGU
ensembl:lncRNA